GGCGUCUGCCUGGGGAAGGUGGACGCC
rfam:Western equine encephalomyelitis virus strain McMillan structural polyprotein gene, complete cds.